UACGGAGGAUGCAAGCGUUAUCCGGAAUGAUUGGGCGUAAAGCGUCCGCAGGUGGCGGUGUAAGUCUGCUGUUAAAGACCGGGGCUUAACUUCGGAAAGGCAGUGGAAACUGAACAGCUAGAGUAUGGUAGGGGCAGAGGGAAUUCCUGGUGUAGCGGUGAAAUGCGUAGAGAUCAGGAGGAACACCAAUAGCGAAGGCAGCUCGCUGGGACGGUACUGACGCUGAGGCGCGAAAGCGUGGGGAGCGAACAGG
rnacentral:rRNA from 1 species